rnacentral:lncRNA from 1 species
UUUUCGCUGGAGCAUUGGCCCAGGUACGAUGCAAUAAUGGCUUUAUCAGCUGUCAGCCGCUUUUAGCCGCCUGCUGUGGCAAGUGGGAAACGUGGCGAGCGUGGGUCGGCCUGGGGAGAUUCGCGAUCAUUAUAGCACUGGAUCCCAGGAUCUAUUUAAACCCGCCUUUUCGCCGCUAGGACUCUCAUUCCGCCUGAAAGUUCUGUCGGUGUCUGCCUUCUCUCCGAGUGCUCUGACCCUCCUUGGCAUCCACC